AUUGAACGCUGGCGGCAGGCCUAACACAUGCAAGUCGAACGAGAGGCGGACGGGUGUGUAAUGUAUGGGAAACUGCCCGAUGGAGGGGGAUAACUACUGGAAACGGUAGCUAAUACCGCAUACCAUCGGAUGUGCCCAGAUGGGAGUAGUGAGUAGGUGGGGUAACGGCGCACCUAGGCGACGAUCCCUAGCUGGUCUGAGAGGAUGACCAGCCACACUGGAACUGAGACACGAUCCAGACUCCUACGGGAGGCAGCAGUGGGGAAUAUUGCACAAUGGGCGCGAGCCUGAUGCAGCCAUGCCGCGUGUAUGAAGAAGGCCUUCGGGUUGUAGAGUACUUUCAGCGAGGAGGCGUUACUCGCAGAAGAAGCACCGGCUAACUCCGUGCCAGCAGCCGCGGUAAUUC
rnacentral:rRNA from 1 species